UGGAUCCAGACUUUGAUCCUGGCUCAGGAUGAACGCUAGCUACAGGCUUAACACAUGCAAGUCGAGGGGCAGCGAUGAAGAAAGCUUGCUUUCUUCAGGCGGCGACCGGCGCACGGGUGAGUAACGCGUAUCGAACCUGCCUCAUACUCAGGAAUAGCCUUGCGAAAGUAAGAUUAAUGCCCGAUGUUAUUAGGAUAUCACAUGAUGUUCUAAUUAAAGAUUUAUCGGUAUGAGAUGGCGAUGCGUCCCAUUAGCUUGUUGGCGGGGUAACGGCCCACCAAGGCAUCGAUGGGUAGGGGUUCUGAGAGGAAGGUCCCCCACAUUGGAACUGAGACACGGUCCAAACUCCUACGGGAGGCAGCAGUGAGGAAUAUUGGUCAAUGGACGCAAGUCUGAACCAGCCAAGUAGCGUGCAGGAUGACGGCCCUCUGGGUUGUAAACUGCUUUUAGUUGGGAAUAAAGUGCAUCACGUGUGAUGUUUUGUAUGUACCAUCAGAAAAAGGACCGGCUAAUUCCGUGCCAGCAGCCGCGGUAAUACGGAAGGUUCAGGCGUUAUCCGGAUUUAUUGGGUUUAAAGGGAGCGCAGGCGGACCUUUAAGUCAGCUGUGAAAUACGGCGGCUCAACCGUCGAACUGCAGUUGAUACUGGAGGUCUUGAGUGCACACAGGGAUACUGGAAUUCAUGGUGUAGCGGUGAAAUGCUCAGAUAUCAUGAAGAACUCCGAUCGCGAAGGCAGGUAUCCGGGGUGCAACUGACGCUGAGGCUCGAAAGUGCGGGCAUCAAACAGGAUUAGAUACCCUGGUAGUCCGCACAGUAAACGAUGAAUACUCGCGAUUUGCGAUACACAGUAAGUCGCCAAGCGAAAGCGUUAAGUAUUCCACCUGGGGAGUACGCCGGCAACGGUGCAACUCAAAGGAAUUGACGGA
rnacentral:rRNA from 1 species